rnacentral:rRNA from 1 species
UACGAAGGGGGCUAGCGUUGCUCGGAAUUACUGGGCGUAAAGCGCACGUAGGCGGCUUUCUAAGUCGGGGGUGAAAUCCUGGAGCUCAACUCCAGAACUGCCUUCGAUACUGGAGAGCUUGAGUCCGGGAGAGGUGAGUGGAACUGCGAGUGUAGAGGUGAAAUUCGUAGAUAUUCGCAAGAACACCAGUGGCGAAGGCGGCUCACUGGCCCGGUACUGACGCUGAGGUGCGAAAGCGUGAGGAGCAAACAGG